AAUUCAUAUUUGAAAUUUUUUUCGGAUCCGAAUUUGGGUAUUCGAAAAGUUGAAAUAGAUCUGAUCCGUUGUCUUAUGGUGUUUAGGACGAAGGGUCAAUUCGGCUAUUAAUGCAACCAUUAAUGUGGUCAUGAGUAGAGAAGUCACCCCGUUAGGGUUUCCGCCGUUUAGAUUUUUUGCCCCGUCUCUUCUUCCUCCUCUCCGUCGCCGUCAUUGCCAUGAGCAGCCAGCGUUACUUCGGUGUUUGCCAGGAGGCUUGCGCACUGUUUCUGUCGCUGUCUCCGCCGUGGCAUGGCGGGGGUGGUGUGUACGAUCUAUGGAUCUUCUGAUUUGCUUAGAUGGCUGAGAGGGCACGUCAUCUGUAGCAACUCACCGGAUCCGGUAGGAUCCGGCCACCGGUGUAGAUGGCUGCAGGGAUUUGGCCGGAUUUGACAGGAUCUAUGGGUUUCUGAUUUGACCAUCAAAUUUUUCUUUUUUUUUCCUUUUUUCUUUGUCAAGUUUAUCUACUCCUAUGCCUGAUUUUUCUUCUAUAAAUAGCACCUCUUUUCUUGGUUUAGUUAUUUUUUUCUUAUACUUAUGGUUAUGCUUAUGGUUUUUUCUCUGUAUUCUCCUAUUCUGUUAGCUCUUUGUUGUUCUCUUGGUUUUCUGCUACACCUGGUAGUCUGAGGUGUGGAAGUGUGGUUUUUAUCUUGGGGUUUGUGUGUUUUUUAUUAUGUCCGUCUUAAUAUUUAUGUAUACUAAUAUGUUCCCCAUCUUCUGAUUCUUCCUGCAUGUGAAUGUUUUUCGUGUUGGUAGCCGGGUUGACUCUGUUGCUUGACGAGAAUCAAAUAUAGUAACUUUCAAGUGCCUGAUUAGACUGCUGUUAUGGCGCCGGUAGUUUUUUCAAUUUGUUUUCGUGAAUUGCUCCGUGAUGUAUGCCAAAAGUAUUCUCUAUCCAUGCCGAUGUAUGAUGUCCCGAUUGAGAAUGAAAAAGAUGCAAUUAGAGUUUAUGGUGAGAUUGAGUUAGUUAGAGGAGAUACUGUGACAGAGGCUGUGAGAUGUUGGAGUGCACCAUGUCCUAAUAUUGAUGAGAGUGAAGAAGAUGUGGCACGACGAUGUGUCGGAAAGCUCCGUGAUGAGUUUAGUUUUGAUGUUAGAGACUUCAAUUUAGAGGAUAAGAAAUGUUUCGAAGAUUUGUAUUGGCGACUUUCUAUAGAGCAUGAAGUUGUAUGAAAAAAUAUAAGCGUGUGAAAAAAGACUACAGACUUCUUUGGAGAUACUACAACGAUCUCUUGGUUGAGAAGGAGCGCUAUGUUACUGAGCGGAGUGGUCUAAAAAAGAUGAUUGUUGCGUGUGGUGAUCUGCUUGAUCGUCCAAAUGCUGUUGCACUGGAUCAGAAUGGUAACGCUGAUGAUUCUGAAGAGGAUCCUGUGGCGCCAUCUGGUUAUGGAACUUUUCGCUCUUGAGUGCAUAUUUCUCUUUUUUAGGAGCUCUAGAUGUAUGCAUUAUCUUUUUUGGAGUUUUAGUACUUAUGCUUCUUCUAAGUCUCUUAGUAUAGGGAUAUAUAGAAACUUUUCGCUCUUGAGUGCAUAUUCUUUUGUUUAGGAGAGGUGUGGAAGUCUCAUUGUAUCGCUGCCUCUGAACGGUUUUUAUUGGUUCUUUCAUUGUCUUCAUGUAUAUUGAUCUUUUUCCCACCCUCUGCUUCUUACUACAUGUGGGUAAAUAUUAUUUGCCGCGUUGGUAGGCGGGUUUGUGGUGUCGACUGUUGGAAAAAAAUAUAGCUUACAAGCGCUAUUCUCUAUCGAUGCCGAUGUAUGGCGUCCCUGUUGAGAAUGAAGAUUUGCUAUACUGGGCAAAAGUAGGAUUUAACAAGAGUAAGUAAUUGGUGGUAGAUGAGCAAUCUCACAAAGGAGGAGUUUGUUCAGCUACUUCGACGACAGAGCACCGGAUCGUUGAGAGAAAGCUGGAAGUUUCGCAGGGUUACUUUGCACAAAUGUGGGAAAUGAGAGGCUAUAAUUGGCCAACUAUUUGAGAAAAAGGCAUAUGAUAUAGCUGCAAUUAACUGCAACGGGCGCGAUGCGAUCACCAACUUCAAUUGUUCCAUCUACGCAAACGAUCUCCACCUUUCCUUACAAUUUGUUCGCAUUAAAUAUUUACGGCAGUUGAUCACUUUGAGCAUAAUCUUGAUCUGAGUCUGAGUUGCUCAAGCUCUAAGCGGAGUGAGCAUGAAUCGGUGGACGAAGCGAGCUCAAAUGAAAUGGAUCAACGAGUCCCGGUGACAUUCAAACUAGCGUUGAAUCGAAGAAUCAGAGCAAAGUCCUUCUAGAGGAGGAAGUUGAAGAAGCACACAACCUCUCUACUAUAAUAAAGGAUCUUGAGUUGCAACUGAGUAAAGAGCAAGAAGAAUAUAAAAAGGUCUGAUUUUUAUCAUUAGUAUUCAAUUUUGAACCCUGAGCAAAUCAUUUUCUGCUUGAGUGGCAUUAAAAAUAUGACAAAAUAUUGUAGAGUGCUUCAAGUCAAAAAGAUAAUUGUAGUAACUUUGCAUUUCAUUUAUUAAUUGUUUACUUUGUAUCCUUGGUUGAUUUA